GGAUAUGAGGGCGAUCUGACUGUGACAUCUGUCACCGCAUUGAUCGCCAGGGUUGAUUCGGCUGAUCUGGCUGCCUUCCUCCCUCACUGCUCCAUGUGCGUCCCUCCGGAAGCUGCGCGGUCGGUCGAAGAGGACCACCAUCCCCGCUAGAAGAGGACCAGUCUUCGGUCAAGGGUAUAUGAGUAGCUGCACUCCCCUGCUAGAACCUCCAAACAAGCUCCCAAAGUGCUAGAGUUAGAUAUGUGAGACACUGUGCCCCUCCUCUUUUAUUUUUUAUUUUUUAUUUUUAUUUUUGAGA
rfam:Chlorocebus sabaeus isolate 1994-021 chromosome 3, whole genome shotgun sequence.